CACGUAGGGUGCGAGCGUUGUCCGGAAUUAUUGGGCGUAAAGAGCUCGUAGGCGGUGUGUCGCGUCGGCCGUGAAAACCUGCAGCUUAACUGUGGGCGUGCGGUCGAUACGGGCAUCACUGGAGUUCGGCAGGGGAGACUGGAAUUCCUGGUGUAGCGGUGAAAUGCGCAGAUAUCAAGAGGAACACCUGCGGCGAAGGCGGGUUGCUGGGCCGACACUGACGCUGAUGCGCGAAAGCUAGGGGAGCGAACGGG
rnacentral:rRNA from 1 species